AUCUGGCUUAGAGUAUUUGUUGUUUUGACACUGGUUGGGAAAGAGUGAAGUGAGCUUUGAGAGUUCAUGUUGUAAGAAAAAGAAAGGGAAAAGAAAAAUAGAAGGAAAGGGUAGCUAGUCCUCUUCCUCCUAGUUCUCUCCCUCUCUCUCGGCCACCUGCUGCAUCCCUGCGAGCUAGCACUCCCCGGGACGCCGUUUGAUCCAGAGGCCUCGCGUGGAUUACUUGUAGAGGCCGGACGCUUGUUCGGUUGCGGAGCCGCAAGCUAGAACCAACUUGCUGAAAAGUUAGUGUUAUGUUUUCAGUUUUUGGAGUUGAGAUUUGAUCUCAAUUCAACAACACAUACGAUGUGAUCCAUGCAUGAAUAUUUCUAUCACAUAUCCUGCGGAUUCAUCUGGGAAUUUCGUAGGAUUGGAUCCGAUCCAAAGUUUGCAAUGGGCUGUUUUGAACAGCCCUGUUUUAUUCCGCUGAAAACUAUUUUCAAAUUGUAUACUUUCACCUUAAUCGGUGAAUCCUCGGCGCAUACGAUGCUCGAAUUCCCUUCACUUAGGGCAUUUAUUAGAAGUGUACAUUACAUUCACAGGCAGUGAUAGAGUAUAAAUGCUAUGUUUCAAUUAUCCACGAAAAAUUUUAAUACCA
rnacentral:lncRNA from 1 species